rnacentral:rRNA from 1 species
GACGAACGCUGGCGGCGUGCUUAACACAUGCAAGUCGAACGGAAAGGCCCUGCUUUUGUGGGGUGCUCGAGUGGCGAACGGGUGAGUAACACGUGAGUAACCUGCCCUUGACUUUGGGAUAACUUCAGGAAACUGGGGCUAAUACCGGAUAGGAGCUCCUGCUGCAUGGUGGGGGUUGGAAAGUUUCGGCGGUUGGGGAUGGACUCGCGGCUUAUCAGCUUGUUGGUGGGGUAGUGGCUUACCAAGGCUUUGACGGGUAGCCGGCCUGAGAGGGUGACCGGCCACAUUGGGACUGAGAUACGGCGCAGACUCCUACGGGGGGCAGCAGUGGGGAAUAUUGCACAAUGGGCGGAAGCCUGAUGCAGCAGCGCCGCGUGCGGGAUGACGGCCUUCGGGUUGUAAACCGCUUUAGCCUGUGACGAAGCGUGAGUGACGGUAAUGGGUAAAGAAGCACCGGCUAACUACGUG